GACGAACGCUGGCGGCGUGCUUAACACAUGCAAGUCGAACGGAAAGGCCCUGCUUUUGUGGGGUGCUCGAGUGGCGAACGGGUGAGUAACACGUGAGUAACCUGCCCUUGACUUUGGGAUAACUUCAGGAAACUGGGGCUAAUAACGGAUAGGAGCUCCUGCUGCAUGGUGGGGGUUGGAAAGUUUCGGCGGUUGGGGAUGGACUCGCGGCUUAUCAGCUUGUUGGUGGGGUAGUGGCUUACCAAGGCUUUGACGGGUAGCCGGCCUGAGAGGGUGACCGGCCACAUUGGGACUGCGAUACGGCGCAGACUCCUACGGGAGGCAGCAGUGGGGAGUAUGGCACAAUGGUCGGAAGCCUGAUGCAGCAACGCCGCGUGCGUGAUGACGUGCUGCGGGUUGUAAACCGCUUUCGCCGGUGACGAAGCGUGAGUGACGGUAAUGGGUAAAGAAGCACCGGCUAACUACGUG
rnacentral:rRNA from 1 species